rnacentral:rRNA from 1 species
GACGAACGCUGGCGGCGUGCCUAAUACAUGCAAGUAGAACGCUGAAGAGAGGAGCUUGCUCUUCUUGGAUGAGUUGCGAACGGGUGAGUAACGCGUAGGUAACCUGCCUUGUAGCGGGGGAUAACUAUUGGAAACGAUAGCUAAUACCGCAUAACAAUGGAUGACACAUGUCAUUUAUUUGAAAGGGGCAAUUGCUCCACUACAAGAUGGACCUGCGUUGUAUUAGCUAGUAGGUGAGGUAAUGGCUCACCUAGGCGACGAUACAUAGCCGACCUGAGAGGGUGAUCGUCCACACUGGGACUGAGACACGGCCCAGACUCCUACGGGAGGCAGCAGUAGGGAAUCUUCGGCAAUGGGGGCAACCCUGACCAAGCAACGCCGCGUGAGUGAAGAAGGUUUUCGGAUCGUAAAGCUCUGUUGUAAGUCAAGAACGGGUGUGAGAGUGGAAAGUUCACACUGUGACGGUAGCUUACCAGAAAGGGACGGCUAACUACGUG